ACGGUGGUAAUGCCGGAUGUUCCACAUGAUCGCAUGUGAUUGUGGGAAAGAUUCUAUCGGCGUGGGAUGGGGUCGCGUCCUAUCAGCUUGUUGGUGAGGUAACGGCUCACCAAGGCUUCGACGGGUAGCCGGCCUGAGAGGGCGACCGGCCACAUUGGGACUGAGAUACGGCCCAGACUCCUACGGGAGGCAGCAGUGGGGAAUAUUGCACAAUGGGCGCAAGCCUGAUGCAGCGACGCCGCGUGAGGGAUGGAGGCCUUCGGGUUGUAAACCUCUUUUGUUUGGGAGCAAGCCUUCGGGUGAGUGUACCUUUCGAAUAAGCGCCGGCUAACUACGUGCCAGCAGCCGCGGUAAUACGUAGGGCGCAAGCGUUAUCCGGAUUUAUUGGGCGUAAAGGGCUCGUAGGCGGCUCGUCGCGUCCGGUGUGAAAGUCCAUCGCUUAACGGUGGAUCUGCGCCGGGUACGGGCGGGCUGGAGUGCGGUAGGGGAGACUGGAAUUCCCGGUGUAACGGUGGAAUGUGUAG
rnacentral:rRNA from 1 species